GACGAACGCUGGCGGCGUGCUUAACACAUGCAAGUCGAACGGAAAGGCCCUGCUUUUGUGGGGUGCUCGAGUGGCGAACGGGUGAGUAACACGUGAGUAACCUGCACUUGACUUUGGGAUAACUUCAGGAAACUGGGGCUAAUACCGGAUAGGAGCUCCUGCUGCAUGGUGGGGGUUGGAAAGUUUCGGCGGUUGGGGAUGGACUCGCGGCUUAUCAGCUUGUUGGUGGGGUAGUGGCUUACCAAGGCUUUGACGGGUAGCCGGCCUGAGAGGGUGACCGGCCACAUUGGGACUAAGAUACGGCCCAGACUGCUACGGGAGGCAGCAGUGGGGAAUCUUGCACAAUGGGCGGAAGCGUGAUGCAGCAACGCCGCGUGCGGGAUGACGGCUUUCGGGUUGUAAACCGCUUUCGCCGGUGACGAAGCGUGAGUGACGGUAAUGGGUAAAGAAGCACCGGCUAACUACGUG
rnacentral:rRNA from 1 species